GCUCCACCUUGAGUGGGAACGCUCCAGCCAGCCUGGCUCUCAUCAGGCCCAGAGUAUCUCCGCCUCUAGCACAGGAGCCAGCAGCUCAGCCAUUGUCCUGUGACCAGGCAGUGACACGCCUGCUCGGCUUCCGUAAGGAGGACGACCCUUGGAUCUCCUGCUGCCCAGCUCCUGUGUGCAUCCUUGUCAUUGAGGACUCAGAUUCAGCCAGCGCCGUAUCUCCUCAUAUGCACCCCGUCCUGCCCCUGCGCAGCUGUCUCUCAGCCCCAGGCCAGCCAGUGGGGCCAUCGGCCACUCUCUUGCCUGCCUCUCAGUCUGGAUCGGUCCUCCUCCUCAGCCUCUGCAGUACCUGGGUUUACAGAUGCACACCACCACACCUGGCACAGUGGGGCCAUCGGCCACUCUCUUGCCUGCCUCUCAGUCUGGAUCGGUCCUCCUGCCAAGCCUCCCACCUCCAGAGUCUUGCAAGCUGGGCUUGGUGAGCUGUCUCCUUUGCUCUUGACUCGGGAAGCUCUUCCUGACAAGAAAGCUGCAGAGGCGACGUUGUCUACUUCCCACCUCCCCACCACAGCACAUCACCAGGCACAGCUACGGGCUGCCCUACAGCUGGCAAAGCCGAGCUUGACC
rnacentral:lncRNA from 1 species